rnacentral:tRNA from 2 species
GGCGGAGUAGCUCAGGGGCUAGAGCAUCCGGUUCAUACCCGGCAGGUCGUAGGUUCAAAUCCUAUCUCCGCUACCA